GAGUUUGAUCCUGGCUCAGGACGAACGCUGGCGGUGCGCCUUAUGCAUGCAAGUUGAGCGAAGCUUUUUGGUAGUUUACUACUAGAAAUGACUGAGCGGCGAACGGGUGAGUAACGCGUGAGCAAUCUACCUUAGUUACUGGGAUAGCCCGAGGAAACUCGGAUUAAUACCGGAUAUUCUUAUUUUUUCACAUGAAGUUUUAAGGAAAGGUCAGCCGAACUAAGAUGAGCUCGCGUUCUAUCGGCUAGUUGGUGGGGUAAAAGCCUACCAAGGCUACGACGGAUAGCUGGUCUGAGAGGACGAUCAGCCACACUGGGACUGAGACACGGCCCAGACUCCUACGGGAGGCUGCAGCAGGGAAUAUUGUGCAACGAGCGAAAGCUUGACACAGCGACACCGCGUGUGGGAUGACGGUUCUAGGAUUGUAAACCACUUUCAGGAGGGAGGAAAAUGACGGUACCUCCACAAGAAGACCCGGCCAACUAUGUGCCAGCAGCCGCGGUAAUACAUAGGGGUCAAGCGUUGUCCGGAUUUAUUGGGCGUAAAGAGCUCGUAGGCGGUUCAACAAGUCGGUCGUAAAAGUUUAGGGCUCAACCCUAAAAUGUCGAUCGAUACUGUUGUGACUAGGAUACGGUAGAGGUGAAUGGAAUUCCGAGUGUAGCGGUGAAAUGCGUAGAUAUUCGGAGGAACACCAAUUGCGAAGGCAGUUCACUGGACCGUGAUCGACGCUGAGGAGCGAAAGCUAGGGGAGCAAACAGGAUUAGAUACCCUGGUAGUCCUAGCUGUAAACGAUGGAUACUAGAUGUAGGAACUGGAUUGACGGUUUCUGUAUCGUAGCUAACGCGUUAAGUAUCCCGCCUGGGGAGUACGGUCGCAAGACUAAAACUCAAAGGAAUUGACGGGACCCCGCACAAGCGGCGGAGCAUGCGGCUUAAUUCGAUGAUACCCGUAGAACCUUACCUGGACUUGACAUAUAGGGAAAAACUGGAGAAAUCCAGUGUGCGUAAGCGCCCUAUACAGGUGGUGCAUGGCUGUCGUCAGCUCGUGCCGUGAGAUGUUGGGUUAAGUCCCGCAACGAGCGCAACCCCUGUCCUAUGUUGCCAGCAAGUAAUGUUGGGGACUCAUAGGAGACUGCCGGUGAUAAACCGGAGGAAGGUGGGGACGACGUCAAGUCAUCAUGCCCCUUAUGUCCAGGGCUGCACGCAUGCUACAAUGGCAAGUACAACGAGUCGCAAUACCGCGAGGUGGAGCAAAUCUCUUAAAGCUUGUCUCAGUUCGGAUAGGAGUCUGCAACUCGACUCCUUGAAGUUGGAGUCGCUAGUAAUCGCAAAUCAGCAAAGUUGCGGUGAAUACGUUCUCGGGGUUUGUACUCACCGCCCGUC
rnacentral:rRNA from 1 species